GGAAGCAGAUAUGACUCACUCGCGAGCAGCAUGGUCCUUUUGGAUUACUACAGUUGCAAUGAAGAGUGCAGACUGACGUGCGGCAACACGGUAAGCAAAUUUUGCCUACAUACACUGCAGGGGUGAAAGUUUGUGUACCGCUGCAUAAUGGCUUACUUUCACCCCUGGCUGUAUCUCAUUGAAGUUGCCUUGGGGUACUCACAUUUACACUCUGUGUUGAUUGUGGCGACUCCUGUGGGAAAACCUAUACAUCUUAAAGUAUCGCUGUUCUUGUCCAGUACAUGGUCAAGACAGAUUUUCAGACAAAACAAUCUCAUCCUGUUUUAACCUGUUGUACAUUUUGAACAUAUUGGUGAGAAAAUGUUAAGUGUGACUGUUUCUUCGGUGUGCUGUCAGUCAUCUGGUUUCAGGGCCAGCCCAAGGCAUAAGCGAACUAAGCGCCUUCUCCGCGCCAAUAGGGGGCCCCCAAGAGCAAUAAAAAAAAAAAGUUUAAAAUAUAUGUUUUUAAUUUUUUGCAUGUAUGAGUGAUGCUUUCUGUAUGAUCGAAUGUAUUACUGAAAAAAUAAAAUAAAAUGAAGUAAAAACAUUUUAGUGCUGCUGCUGAUGUAGGCCUAUGAUUCUUACUGCAGAUAUGUCGAAGCUCCACUACGGUUAUGUGCUUCCUGCUGUGCAAUGUGCGCUGAGCAUCCAAAGCGCAGGUAGUUGUGGAGCAAAACAAUAUCGCAAAAAAGGACAUAUCCUUCAGGAGCAGAAAAGAAAGGGAAGAAGACAAAAAAACGCCAAGAUAAAGGUAUGUUUGCAUGUCAUGGUAUAUUAAUCAAAGAGAUUUGUGAAGGUGUGUGAAUGACCAACAAUCAAUAUUUUUGGCAGAAAUAGAGGGCCCCAAAAUCAAAUUUCCUUAGGGCCCCAUUGAGGCUUAGGCUGGCUCUGUCUGAUUUGACACCUACCCUCUCACAGAAAUUGUCGGUGUUGUCGCUGAUGGCCUUGUUUACUAUUUUUGGUCAUAAAUAGGCACCGGUAUCAACUCCAAACUGUUUCACAACCAGUUAAAAACCCCUCACCGUAGCUUUAACCUUAUCAAGCUUACAAAUCAUCAUGCUGUUAUUAAUUCACACUCACUUCACCCGUUUUUCAUUCAAACACUGUACUUUUUAAGCAUUACCGAUAUACACCAGUGCUGCACUUUUCUUAAACUUCUACAAAACUUUUUUUCCCCCCUGAAUCUGUUGGAGAAUGGGCCUCAAAAGAAGUCUUUGUCCCAGCUUGAACUCAGUGGGUCAGGGUGCCCCCAUGCCCACACCCAUCACACACACACAAACAAAGCGAGGGAGACAGAGUGGGCUGCACCGAAUUCCCCCGGGACACCCUGCUGCUGGGCUGAAUACUGAUGAGGAGGCAACAAGUUUGUCUGUUGGUGCAGCUGCUAUUCAUGCCUCCUCAUGCGACUUGUUCAAAGCAUACUAAGAAGGAAAAGAGGAGUUGGUUAUUCACAAAAGCCCUGCAUGUAGGGCUGGAAUACUUCUUUAAGACGACCACUUUGUCUAUCUGCAUUUCAUUUUAAGGAAACUGCUUUGUCCAACCAGGGGUGAGAGUGGACUAAACUUUUACAUGUGCAAAGGAACCAAAGAUGAUAAUAGGUUAGGGCAGUGUUUCUCAACUGGUGGGUCGUGGACACAUUCUGGAAUGGUCGUGAACUGCCGGUUAAAAAAGUAAAUAUUUAAUGUGAUAUUCAUUAGAUGUUUGAUAUUUUCUGUAUAUGCAACUUCAGUAGUUUACUCAAUAAAAUAGGUGUAUUUAUGUCAAAGAUUUGAGUCUUUGAAGGUUUUUUUUUUUAAAUGAAAGCUAAAUUUGCUUGGUUUGAAUUGUAUAAAAGUGGGUCACGACUUAAGGACAAUGAGAAAAUGUGGGUCCCAUAGUGAGACCAGUUGAGAAACACUGGGUUAGGGGACCAUUACUCAGUGCAACAUCCCUAUGGCUGUAAAGGAAAAACAAACAAAAAAUACUUUAGUUUUCUUUUUCUCUUUUCUUUUUCUAUGUUGAAAGCACUUCAUUUUCUGCAUUGUAUCUCUUUGACUGUACUACACUGGUUUGUACUUUUGCUUAUUAGACUAAUGACACUGCACUGAGAUUUUCAAGCGUAUGAAGUUUAAGUCCUUGUUUUGGGAUGUUCCAAUAGCGUCUUAACAUAAAUAGCUUAAUAGUGACAGUCUGGAACAGAGCGAGAGAGAGGGAGGAAGGGAGAAAGGGGGAGGGAUGGGUGACUGGGGUAGGAGGGACUGUGGGGAUGAUGAGCAGCCACACUGACAGCAGCAUCCCCGCUCUGUCGCUCUGUGCCUGUCAGCGGUCACUCCAAACCGGCCAGCCCGGCUGCAUUCACAGUCUGUGCGCGCUGCUGAGCCACAACGGAAAACGCUCGGACAGAGUUUGUCGACCCACUUCUAGACAAUCUAACAACUUCGCAAACAAUUUGGGGGAAGUUGUUGGACCUCGGUGUUCAUUUAGGGGAGUUUGUUUCGAGGAGCUUUGAAGCGUGGAGAAAAGGAAAGAAACGCAUGGACACCGGACACCAGAGGGAACAAUCAGGUGAGCUGUUAAAUGAGACGUUCAAGUGCUUCAAGUGAUAAGUCCAAGUAAAGCCAGCGAGAAAGAUAUUGAAAUGUAAGAAAGAUUAGUAGUCCAUCUUAGCUAUGAAACAUGUUUUGCCUUUUUUAAACUGUCUUUUUCAUAUAAAUAUUUCUGUAUUCAGAGCUAAAACAGCGUAAAAGUUACUGAACAUCAGUGCUGCAUAGGGCCAAACUUAGUGCAUGUCAAGGCCCUAUGUUUAUACCUUAAAUGCAUUUUAAAACGGGGGAAAAGAGGUAAUAAUUUUAUUGAUAUGUGCCACAACACUUAAAUAUCUGAUUAUUCUUUGUUAGAAGAAUAUCUAACUUUUAAAUGUCAUCUAAAGCUCUCAAAACUGUUACCCUGACCCCACAGAAAAGUUGCACCUAUGCAGCUGACAUUUACACUUGAGCUGGAGAGAGUGUGUGGAUGUUCAGUCAUUUGAGAUGGAGCUCUUGCCCGCUGAAGAUGAUGCAUUAUGCAAAAGUACUCGUCUGUUUUUCAUGUGGUCGGUACAGGCAGUAGUCUAUAUAAUGCGUUCCUGCACUGCUUGUUCAGCUUCCACUGUAAGAAAGCAUUCUUUGGGACAUGCAGGCAUGUAUUUGCAUCUAUUUACAUGAGAUAGUGUGCACAAAGGGGCUUUAUACUGGUCAAUGGCAUCAUUCAGACGCACAUGCUCACUGUGUAUUUGACUAUUUGAUGGCCACAGUCCUAACCUGAGGCUGAACCAUUUCCUGCUGUCAUAACACUAAUCUGUGUAUUGAUUGUGACUUUAGAGAGCAUCUGCAUGGGUUUGUCUGCAUGUUUGUGUGUGGUUAGUCGGUCAUGUGCUCCUCUGACCUUUGGGCCUCUGAAUCUAACAAAACAAACACCCAGACUUCAGGAACAUUAACAGACUUAUAUUGGCACAUCAUCUCACAUGUGAUUAGUUUUUGUGUUGUUUGAAUCUAAGAAGUUGGCAUUUACUAGAUGUUUUAUGCACCGAGUGAUGCAUCAAAUCAGAGGGUACAAAGCAGAGCAAUGCCCUGAAAUGUUACGCUUUUGCAAGUAAUCACCUUGUGUUCGCAACAGUCUGAUUUACCUUUGAACACAUUUUCUUUUUUUAUCUCUGUGGUCACAAAUUGCUGCAGAGCUGUUUGCAGUGAAAAUGCAUUUAUCUUUCAAACGAGAACAAAUGAUCCUUGUGGUUAUUAAAAUACCAGCCCAAUCAUCUACUUUUGGGCCUAAAGCAAUGGCCUGCUCAUGGAAAUCUGUUACAAUGAAUGAGUGAUAAUGAAGAACAAGCGUAUCUGCUGUGUGUUUGCCUGUUUUAUGCACUAAUGAUUAUCUGAAAUCCGCAUGCAAACUGUCCUCUUUGGAUCUUUUGCACACACUCGUGUAAUAACUCUCCAGAACAGACACACCGAUCCCUCCCUCCCUGCCACAUCUCUCUCUGUGUUGGCUUAUAGCCUCCUCAUUCCUCCUAUUUUCGCUAAUUGGACAUUGUACUGCACGCUACAUCAAGUAUCACCUGACUCCCUCCUGAAAGUUCCCAUCUAAAGGAUGUUUUGGCAAUACCCUGCAAAACUCUGAGGGCAGUUUUAUUGACAGUUAUCCCAGCUGGGGGAUUAUGAGGGUAAUUUCCCCCACAGUGAUGCCACCAGCCUCCUCAGAGGGAUCCAUCUGCUACAAACACAGACCAACUUCAUAAGAGCUGAUCAAAUGCAUCACUGCCACUGACUCCAACUCAGAGCUAUCCAUCUUUAUUUGGCUUGGUCAUAAAAUGGCUUUGAAGGGAUGGAUAAUGUUGAAAUAAGUUCUCGAUGGCAAGCUCUGACUGUCGUGGUAUUGCUUUCAGAAGAGGGAAGAGGAAAUAUGUGGUCUCAUUAGAAAUGCAUUAGAGGGAAGAGAGAAGGGGUAGAAGUGAGGAGCCUGAGUUUUUAUCUGUACAACUCUUAAAAGGGAAAAUAUUCACAGUCUAACUUAGGCUUGAACUAACAGCUCUCUCUCUCUCUCUCCCUCUCUUCCUCUAAUUCGCUCACUCACUAGUGCACCUCAGUGACCCAUUUAAUAUCAGCCCCGAAAUUGGCAACAAUAUUCACACGUGAUUCUCCUGACAACACAUUAGUGCUGAAUCUCAUUCAAAAUAACUCGGCUAGAAAAAGUGCCUAUUUGCACCUUCUUUAUCAUUUUAAUAACUUUCUCGCUGUCUGACUGUGUAAAAGAAACAGGAUUAGGAAAAAAGGUUGUACUUUUAACACAGGACUGUAACCAAAAAGGCUUAUUCUUGUCUUUAAAUUACAUCUUUUCACCCCCAAACUAUAACACGGAACAAAUCUCCUGAAUGAAUGUUCUUUCCAGCCAUCCCAAACUUUUCUUCUGCAUUCAGAGCAUCAGAUUUAUAAAUAUCACCUCUCUGUGCACGCUGCAGAUAAUGACCAUACGUAGGUUGGUCCAUGUUUAGAGUCUGCAGGGAUAAGGCCACUUUGGCCCAGUGACUGUUGUGUCAGAGAAAGUAAUCUUUUCUAAGCUGACAUCGCUGCAGGACUUGAGCAGCUCCAUGUGACAGGCAGGUUAACUCUGAACAACCUGCGCGUGUUCUGAACAUGUGUGUGUUCACCGAACAUGUGGACUUGUGUGUAAGUGAUGCAUUUUCUCUUCUUUUUGCAGGGAGAGUCCGUGAGUUGAAGUGAAUGACGUGAAAUAAGUUUCAGCUCCUCCUCUGAGGUGUGAUGUGACUUGCGGUGAGUCCGGUGUCUACUUUCAACUCAAGCAUGGAGCACGAGCUGAGGAUGGGUCUCUCUGUGUGGGCCAUCAUGGCGAUUGUUUGCAACUCUGUGGUGGGCGUCCUCAUCCUCGUCCUCUUCGUCAUCCUCUACAAGGCUUGCAAGGUGCCUUCACAUCCAGAGAAAAUCCCCGUUUUCACUGCAGAGCCGGAGCAGAAGAAGUCUGAACAGAAGUACCUGCUGACUGCAGCAUGAUCAUGGAUAUGUAUGGAAACAGAGGUCAUGGGUCAAGCUUCAAACCUCGACUCCAAACCUUGAGUGGUCUUCUGCACUUUCUUCCUCAGUCCCACUCACAACUCCAUCCUGUUUACUACCAUCAGCCCCUCAUCUGUGCCAUUUGUCGGAGCUCAGAGUGAGCUAACUGCAUUAAGAGUUAUGCUGAGACUCACAACAACAACAUGCAGCAGCUUCAAUCCUCUUAUCUCUUCUGUGCAUCUCAGGGACCGUCCAUCUGUCAGUGUAUUUGCUUUGCUGUACACAGGCAGACCAUGAUCUCCUCCCCUUCUCCUCCGGUAUUUCUCCUCCCUCCAUAUGAGAAAACUGAGGGGAUGUGGGGGAGAAACAGGGAAAAGAAAGCAAUGGAAAGUAAACAGAGAUUUUGUGUGGACGGGGUCGGCUGAGAGACAAAAGAGGAAAGGAGGAAAUGUAGCUUCGUAGCUUUACAGGCAGCUUCAGCACUAAUGAUGGCACCAUAGAGCUCCAGAACAGGCAAAAAGUAGAGACUAAAAGAGUCAAAGAAGAGGAAAUGUAUGAAUGUAGAGGAUACAAAGGGAGACAGACGGGUGGAACAAGUGGAUAUUUUGUUGGAAGGAUAGAGUGCAUGGUUGGAAACAGAGGGGCUGCUGAUGUAACAAAAAGGGAGCCUGAGGCCUUGGACAGCAACCCUAUUUCACCCACAAGUCACUGCCUCCACCCCUCUGACUUCAACGGGAUUAAAGCAACAGUAGAAACUUCGCUGGAGUCCCUGUGUGCCUCUCUGUCAUUUGAAUGAGAUAUUUAUGAAGCCCUUCACCAGAAAUGACUCGGCAGGAUAUGAAGUCUUAAAAAAUGAGUGAACUGAACGAAAUGUAUAGUGAAUGCUUUUCAGCUAAUACACUAACAGAAGGUUAUAGAUGCUGUCUGUAGGGACACAGAGGCGGGACUCACCACUGUGAAUUGCAAAUCAUAAUCAUCAAAAUAAAAACUGUUGUUUACUAGUAUAUAUGUUUUUGUAAGGUGGAUUCAAGUUGUUCCAAUAAAAGGGCUCCUUGGUAA